AGAGUUUGAUCCUGGCUACAGAACGAACGCUGGCGGCAGGCUUAACACAUGCAAGUCGAACGCCCGCAAGGGGAGUGGCAGACGGGUGAGUAACGCGUGGGAAUCUACCCAUCUCUACGGGAUAGCUCCGGGAAACUGGAAUUAAUACCGUAUACGUCCUGAGGGAGAAAGAUUUAUCGGGGAUGGAUGAGCCCGCGUUGGAUUAGCUAGUUGGUGGGGUAAAGGCCUACCAAGGCGACGAUCCAUAGCUGGUCUGAGAGGAUGACCAGCCACAUUGGGACUGAGACACGGCCCAAACUCCUACGGGAGGCAGCAGUGGGGAAUAUUGGACAAUGGGCGCAAGCCUGAUCCAGCCAUGCCGCGUGAGUGAUGAAGGUCUUAGGAUUGUAAAGCUCUUUCAGUGGGGACGAUAAUGACGGUACCCACAGAAGAAGCCCCGGCUAACUUCGUG
rnacentral:rRNA from 1 species